UAGACAGUGAGCAAGAGAGAGCUGAACUCAUUUUUACAAUAAAUCCAGUGUCUUGAUCAUGAGCUCACUCCUUCAAUAAAGAGAUUAAUCCAUUCAUGAGGGUUUUGCCCUUAUGACCUAAUCACUUCUUAAUAGUCCCACCUCUUAAUACCUUCACAAUGGCAAUUAAAUUUCAUCAUAAAUCAGCCGGGCAUGAUGGCUCACCACUGUAAUCCCAGCACUUUGGGAGGCCAAAGAAGGCAGAUCACUUGAGGUCAGGAGUUCAAGACCAUCGUGGCCAAAAUGGUGAAACCUUGUCUCUACUAAAAAUAUAAAAAUUAGCUGGGUAUAGGGGUGGCCACUUGUAAUCCCAGCUACUCAAAAGGCUAAGGCAGGAGAAUUGCUUGAACCCAGGAGGCAGGAGUUGCACUUAGCCGAGAUCAUGCCAUUGCACUCCAGCCUGGGUGACAAGAACAAAACUCCAUCUAAAAAAAAAAAAAAUAAAAUAAAUAAAUAAAUUUCAUCAUAAGUUUUGGAGGGGACAGUCAAACCAUAACACUAAGUAUUAGCACAUUAAUCUAAGAAUUAGCAUAUUAACCUAAAUGUUGUUUGUGGAAGAUAAAAUGUGUAUAUUUUCAUAGUUUAAAUUUCAUUUUUCAAAACAAAAUUCCAAUUAAACAUUUUUUUCCCAAUUACUAAGAAAUGUUGGUUCCCAGAGCUUUGACUUGUGGUCAAAGUGGUCUUUUUCUUGGGAUAAUGAGACCCUUCUUUAGAGUGGGUUCAAUGUCUGUCUCACUUGCCAGACUAUGGGGGCUGUGUGGUGGGUCCCACAUCAUUAUUCCUGGAGAUGGAAUCUAGAAUGAGGUUUGGCUCGGCUGCACGCAGUGGCUCAUGCCUGUAAUCCCAGCACUUUGGGAGGCCAAGGUAGGCAAGGCAGAUCACUUAACUCAGGAGUUCAAGAGCAGCCUGAACAACAUGGCAAAAACCCAUCUCUACAAAAAAUACAAAAAUUAGCUGGGCGUGAUAGCGUGCACCUGUAGUCCAAGCAACUUGGGAGGCUGAGAUGGGAGCGGUGCUUGAGCUUGGGAGGCUGAGAUGGGAGCGUUGCUUGAGCUUGGGAGGUUGAGGCUGCAGUGAGUCAUGAUUGUGCCACUGCACUCCAGCCUGGGUGACAGAGUGGGAUCCUGUCUGAAAAAAAAAUAUUGCCUAGAGCUAAGUGGGGCUCUCACCUGCUCCCUCUCUUCUCUCUGCUAGAGACCAGAGGGCUCUGGGCACUCACAAGACCUACAAAAGAAAGGUUCAC
rnacentral:lncRNA from 1 species